rnacentral:rRNA from 1 species
CCCAAAAUGUAACGGAGGCGCCCAAAGGUUCCCUCAGCCUGGUUGGCAAUCAGGUGUUGAGUGCAAGUGCACAAGGGAGCUUGACUGUGAGACUGACAGGUCGAGCAGGGACGAAAGUCGGGACUAGUGAUCCGGCACCGGCAAGUGGAAGCGGUGUCGCUCAACGGAUAAAAGGUACCCCGGGGAUAACAGGCUGAUCUUCCCCAAGAGUCCAUAUCGACGGGAUGGUUUGGCACCUCGAUGUCGGCUCGUCGCAUCCUGGGGCUGGAGUAGGUCCCAAGGGUUGGGCUGUUCGCCCAUUAAAGCGGCACGCGAGCUGGGUUUAGAACGUCGUGAGACAGUUCGGUCUCUAUCCGCCGCGCGCGUUAGAAACUUGAGGAAGGCUGUCCCUAGUACGAGAGGACCGGGACGGACGAACCUCUGGUGUGCCAGUUGUUCCACCAGGAGCACGGCUGGUUGGCUACGUUCGGAAGGGAUAACCGCUGAAAGCAUCUAAGCGGGAAGCCUGUUCCAAGAUUAGGUUUCUCACCACCUUGAGUGGGUAAGACCCCCUACAGACUAUGGGGUUGAUAGGCCAGAACUGGAAGCGCAGUAAUGCGUGUAGGUGACUGGUACUAAUCGGUCGAGGGCUUACCACACA